rnacentral:tRNA from 1 species
UUAGUGGUGGCUUAGUGGUAGAGGGCUUGCCUAGCAUGCAUGAGGACUGGGUUCAAUCCCCAGAUUAAA